GGACAACCUGCCCAAAGGUCCGGGAUAACCCCGGGAAACUGGGGAUAAUACCGGAUAAAUCACAGGUACUGGAAGGUCUUGUGGUUGAAACUUCCGGGGCCUUUGGAUGGGUCUGCGGCGGAUUAGGUUGUUGCCGGUGUAACGUACCGUCAAGCCUGUAAUCCGUACGGGUUGUGGGAGCAAGAGCCCGGAGAUGGAUUCUGAGACACGAAUCCAGGCCCUACGGGGCGCAGCAGGCGCGAAAACUCUACAAUGCAGGCAACUGCGAUAGGGGAACAUCGAGUGAUACUCAUCUUGGGUGUCUGUCCUCCCGUCUAAAAAACGGGAGUUAGCAAGGGCCGGGCAAGACCGGUGCCAGCCGCCGCGGUAAUACCGGCGGCUCGAGUGGUGGCCGAUAUUAUUGAGUCUAAAGGGUCCGUAGCCGGCUUUGCAAGUCUUUUGGGAAAUCCAGCGGCUUAACCGUUGGUCGUCCGGGAGAUACUACAUUGCUUGGGACUGGGAGAGGUAGGAGGUACUCAGGGGGUAGGAGUGAAAUCCUGUAAUCCUUUGGGGACCACCGGUGGCGAAGGCGUCCUACCAGAACAGGUCCGACGGUGAGGGACGAAAGCUAGGGGCACGAACCGGAUUAGAUACCCGGGUAGUCCUAGCCGUAAACGAUGCUCGCUAGGUGUCACAACAAUCGUGAAUUGUUGUGGUGCCGUAGGGAAGCCGUGAAGCGAGCCACUUGGGAAGUACGACCGCAAGGUUGAAACU
rnacentral:rRNA from 1 species